rnacentral:rRNA from 1 species
GUUAAAAAGCUCGUAGUUGGAUUCCUGUCGGAAUUGCUUGGUCCCCACUCUGUGGGCGCAUCUAAGUCGAUUCUGGCAUCCUCCUAUUUUUCGUUUGCUGCACUUAAUUGGGUGGCUUUCGGAGUAGGACUUUUACUUUGAGGAAAUUCGAGUGUUUACGGCAGGCAAUCGCCUUGUAGAUAUUAGCAUGGAAUAAUAAUAUAGGACCUUGGUUCUAUUUUGUUGGUUUCUAGGACUGAGGUAAUGAUUAAUAGGGAUAUUUGGGGGCAUUCGUAUUAACCGGUCAGAGGUGGAAUUCUUGGAUUCGGUUACGACGAACUACUGCGAAAGCAUUUGCCAAGAAUGUUUUCAUUGAUCAAGAACGAAAGUGUGGGGAUCGAAGAUGAUUAGAUACCGUCGUAGUCUACACCAUAAACUAUGCCGACUAGAGAUUGGAGGUUGUCUUCUCAUAACUCCUUCAGCACCUUACGAGAAAUCAAAGUUUUUGGGUUCCGGGGGGAGUAUGGUCGCAAGGCUGGAACUUAAAGGAAUUGACGGAAGGGCACCACCAGGAGUGGAGCCUGCGGCUUAAUUUGACUCAACACGGGAAAACUCACCAGGUCCAGACAUAGUAAGGAUUGACAGAUUGAUAGCUCUUUCUUGAUUCCAUGGGUGGUGGUGCAUGGCCGUUCUUAGUUGGUGGAGUGAUUUGUCUGGUUAAUUCCGUUAACGA